AAUAAAAUGGCUGAUAAAAGCGAUAAAUUGUAAAUUUAUUUAUAGGAAAUAAUCCUUUUUAUUA
rnacentral:tRNA from 1 species